AAUUAUAACCAAUGAUUGCUUUUUAUAUAAUAGUGCAAAAAUAAUUUUAACUACAAUCUUUAAUUAAUGUUUGUUUGGCUGAGUUUACCUUGUCCAAAGAGUUCAAGUAAUCAACAGCUCUUUCUCGGUUCACCAAAAAGAUAAGAGAGGGACUUACUUUCCCCACCAAAGCUCGGCCGCAGUUGUCUCAUCCUUAACCACACGCUUGUCUUUAGGAGACCGGCCAGUUUUGGCUCCCGAUAACGUCGCCAACGCACCGUUCGAUGAUGGUUACCGGCGGGAGAGAGGUUGUGAAGGAUAUGCGUGAAUUUCAAGCCGCUGUCACUGACGUCAGCAGCUGGAACUGAUGUAGGAGUGUGUGGCACGUGUGCCACUUUCGCGGCCGACGUGGGAUCUCCUUUGAUUAACU